CGGGGAAUCGAUUAGAGUUUGAUCAUGGCUCAGAACGAACGCUGGCGGCGCGUCUUAAGCAUGCAAGUCGAGCGGGAUUGGGUAGCUUGCUACUCAUGAGAGCGGCGGACUGGUGAGUUACGCGUGGGUGACGUACCCUUUAGACGGGGAUAGCUCCUAGAAAUAGGAGGUAAUACCGGAUACGAUAGUGAGUGUCAGAGACUCAUUAUGAAAGGUUCUUUUGAACCGCUGAAGGAGCGGCCCGCGUACUAUUAGCUAGUUGGUGAGGUAACGGCCCACCAAGGCGACGAUAGUUAUCCGGCCUGAGAGGGUGAACGGACACAUUGGGACUGAGAUACGGCCCAGACUCCUACGGGAGGCGGCAGCUAAGAAUAUUCCGCAAUGGGGGAAACCCUGACGGAGCGACGCCGCGUGGAUGAUGAAGGCCGGAAGGUUGUAAAAUCCUUUUAGAUAUGAGGAAUAAGCAGGGUGAGAGAAACGCCCUGUGGUGACUGUAGUAUCAGAAUAAGGGGCGGCUAAUUACGUGCCAGCAGCCGCGGUAACACGUAAGCCCCGAGCGUUGUUCGGAAUUAUUGGGCGUAAAGGGCAUGUAGGCGGCUUUGCAAGUCUGGUGUGAAAGGCAGGAGCUUAACUCCUGGACUGCGCUGGAAACUGCAUGGCUUGAGUCACUGAGGGGCAUCCGGAAUUCCUGGUGU
rnacentral:rRNA from 1 species